AGAAAUUCGCCGAGCUUCGAGACACACGACGAUUAUGCGAGCGUCACUAUCGGCGCGGGCUUAUCUAAAGCAUUCGACGAGAAAAAUCGAUUCGCGCUGUUCGCGUGCUGUCCCCUAUCUCGACGGAGUGGGACGAACGCGGAUGAGAACUUAUCGCCUUACCAUUGGCAUUGGACACUAGUUGGCCUCGCUCGAGAGCGCCCAGAAACCUGGCCGAUCGCGGAGUCGCGCCACUCGUUCCCUCGGCUUCGAGCGCCCGACCAUGGAGCACAAGUUCGUCUGCAUCAAGGACUUCGAGAAGCACGCCCUCGACAACUUAACGCCCGCGGUGCGCGACUACUACAAGAGCGGCGCCGGCGACGAGGACACCCUCAAGUGGAACAGGUCUGCCUUCAAGAAGCUGCGGAUCCGCGCGCGGGUGCUGCGCGACGUCUCCAAGAGGGACAUCGGCACCACGGCGCUGGGCGAGCGAGUGUCGAUGCCUCUGGGCGUCUCGCCGACCGCCAUGCAGAGGAUGGCCCAUCCCGACGGAGAGUGCGCCAACGCGAAAGCCGUGCAGGCGGCCGACACCGUGUUCAUCCUGUCGACCCUGUCGACGAGCAGCAUCGAGGAGGUGGCGGCCGCGGCGCCCCGCGCCAUCAAGUGGUUCCAGCUCUACGUGUACUUCGACCGGGGCGUGACCCUCGACCUGAUACGCAGAGCCGAGAGGGCAGGCUUCAAGGCCCUCGUGCUGACCGUCGACACGCCGCUCUUCGGCGACAGGCGGCUCGACAUCAGGAACAAGUUCGCGCUGCCGGCCCACCUCAAGUUCGCCAACUUCGAGGGGCACCUCUCGGACAAGAUCAACCGCUCGGAGGACGGCUCGGGGCUGAACGAGUACACCAACGACCUGUUCGACGACUCGCUCUCCUGGGACGACGUCGACUGGCUGAGAAGCGUCACCGAGCUGCCGAUCGUGCUGAAGGGCAUCCUCACGGCGGAGGACGCCGUGAUAGGCGUCGAGCGCGGGGCCAGCGCCAUUCUGGUCUCCAACCACGGCGCGCGCCAGAUCGACGGCGUUCCCGCGUCGAUCGAGGCGCUGCCGGAGGUCGCCAAGGCCGUCGGCGACAGGGUCGAGGUCUACAUGGACGGAGGCAUCACCCAGGGCACCGACGUCUUCAAAGCCCUGGCGCUGGGCGCCAAAAUGGUGUUCUUCGGGAGGCCGAUGCUGUGGGGACUGACGUGCGCCGGCGAACAAGGAGCUCGAGCCGUGCUGGAAAUGAUGAGGCGAGAAAUAACUCUGGCUUUCGCCCUGGCAGGCUGCUCCAACGUCAAGGAAGUCACCAGAGACAUGGUCGAACACGAGUCCACCUACAGUCGUCUCUGAUCCGACGAUAUCCAAGUAUUUCGUGCAUUCGGAGGACAAACAUCAGGCGACGCGAAGGGACAAACCGAUCAAAGCUACUUGUAACCGUAUACCCACUGAGAUACAUUAUCGUCGACACACACUUGUACAUUCGCUCGCUAUUGGCACAGUUUGGAAUACAGUCGAGUCGUUAGGAAAGACGUAGCCUAUUGCAGUACAAUGAUAUGGUAAGUCUCGUGGCUCGAAAUCGCGUUUUAGAUAGCUCUGUGGCCGACGAGCCUACUAAUCUUUUCUAUUCUAGACAAUUUUCAAGGUCCCCAAGUGGCAAGUAGAAUAUGACACAUCGGUCGCUGUACGUAUGCAGUCGAUAUAUAAUAAUAUUUAUAAACUAAUAUCAAGAGUUACGUUUGUUGGCACGACGAGCCAAAGAUACCCUAUUUGCAUACGAGUCUUAAAAAACGAUCGCUUCAUUUUUCUCUUCCCGUCUACUCAACUUGUCUCGCCUAUCACAGAAGUUCUCGCGCUAAUGUCACAUAUUUUUAUACGAAUUCUUAUCACACUAUUAUUUAUUAUAUUUACAACUUUCCUUAUGAUUACGUUAUUGCUUGCGUAAUGCUCGCCUUAUAAUAAAACCCUCGAUUGUUAUAUCCAUUUGGGGAUUGCAAUGAAUAUUUUAGAAGUAGGCAAACGUUAACUCAAACUCCAAGUAAGUACUUGUUAUGGAAGAGUGUUUGCGUAAGGCAG